rnacentral:rRNA from 1 species
GGGGAAUAUUGGACAAUGGGCGGAAGCCUGAUCCAGCAACGCCGCGUGAGGGAUGACGGCCUUCGGGUUGUAAACCUCUUUCAGCACAGACGAAGCGCCCUGUCGGGUGGUGACGGUAUGUGCAGAAGAAGCACCGGCCAACUACGUGACAGCAGCCGCGGUAAUACGUAGGGUGCAAGCGUUGUCCGGAAUUAUUGGGCGUAAAGAGCUCGUAGGCGGUCUGUCGCGUCGGCUGUGAAAACUCGGGGCUCAACCCCGAGCCUGCAGUCGAUACGGGCAGACUAGAGUGCUGUAGGGGAGACUGGAAUUCCUGGUGUAGCGGUGAAAUGCGCAGAUAUCAGGAGGAACACCGGUGGCGAAGGCGGGUCUCUGGGCAGUAACUGACGCUGAGGAGCGAAAGCGUGGGGAGCAAACA